ACAUUUUGGACACCCAAAGUUGUGCGGAGGAGAAAAUGCUACCUGGCGCGUGAUUGGUCAAUAAGAGAAAAGACUUGAUAUGUAUUUGACAAGUGAAAUAAAGUUGAUAAAAAUGUAAUAUCAAGACUUGGGUUUCUUUGAGAUAUGUAGGAGUUACAGAUGAGGGUCUGAUUGACUGGGGUGUGAAAUGUAACAGCCAAUGGUGUACUUAAGCUAAGACUGUCAGUCCCAAUAUUCAAGAGGUGAGAUAAGCAAUGGAUAUGUGUUCUAAAUUUACUAAAUUGACCACUUUUUAUAAAUGUUUCUUUUACUCUAUAGGAAAAACCCCUACAUAAACAAAUACAUGGGCGCAGACAUUUUGGACACCCAAAGUUGUGCGGAGGAGAAAAUGCUACCUGGCGCGUGAUUGGUCAAUAAGAGAAAAGACUUGAUAUGUAUUUGACAAGUGAAAUAAAGUUGAUAAAAAUGUAA